rnacentral:rRNA from 1 species
UACGUGGGUGCGAGCGUUGUCCGGAAUUACUGGGCGUAAAGAGCUCGUAGGUGGUUUGUCGCGUCGUCUGUGAAAUUCCGGGGCUUAACCUCGGGCGUGCAGGCGAUACGGGCAAUACUUGAGUGCUGUAGGGGAGACUGGAAUUCCUGGUGUAGCGGUGAAAUGCGCAGAUAUCAGGAGGAACACCAAUGGCGAAGGCAGGUCUCUGGGCAGUUACUGACGCUGAGGAGCGAAAGCAUGGGUAGCGAACAGGAUUAGAUA